GACGAACGCUGGCGGCGUGCCUAAUACAUGCAAGUCGAGCGGAGAAAUGGGAGCUUGCUCCCAUUUCUCAGCGGCGGACGGGUGAGUAACACGUGGGCAACCUGCCCUACAGACUGGGAUAACUCCGGGAAACCGGAGCUAAUACCGGGUAAUACAUAGCAUCGCAUGAUGCAACGUUGAAAGUUGGCCUUUGGCUAACACUGUAGGAUGGGCCCGCGGCGCAUUAGCUAGUUGGUAAGGUAAUGGCUUACCAAGGCGACGAUGCGUAGCCGACCUGAGAGGGUGAUCGGCCACACUGGGACUGAGACACGGCCCAGACUCCUACGGGAGGCAGCAGUAGGGAAUCUUCCGCAAUGGACGAAAGUCUGACGGAGCAACGCCGCGUGAGUGACGAAGGCCUUCGGGUCGUAAAGCUCUGUUGUUAGGGAAGAACAAGUACCGUUCGAAUAGGGCGGUACCUUGACGGUACCUAACCAGAAAGCCACGGCUAACUACGUGCCAGCAGCCGCGGUAAUACGUAGGUGGCAAGCGUUGUCCGGAAUUAUUGGGCGUAAAGCGCGCGCAGGCGGUCUUUUAAGUCUGAUGUGAAAGCCCACGGCUCAACCGUGGAGGGUCAUUGGAAACUGGAGGACUUGAGUGCAGAAGAGGAGAGUGGAAUUCCACGUGUAGCGGUGAAAUGCGUAGAUAUGUGGAGGAACACCAGUGGCGAAGGCGGCUCUCUGGUCUGUAACUGACGCUGAGGCGCGAAAGCGUGGGGAGCRAACAGGAUUAGAUACCCUGGUAGUCCACGCCGUAAACGAUGAGUGCUAGGUGUUGGGGGGUUCCACCCUCAGUGCUGAAGUUAACACAUUAAGCACUCCGCCUGGGGAGUACGACCGCAAGGUUGAAACUCAAAGGAAUUGACGGGGGCCCGCACAAGCAGUGGAGCAUGUGG
rnacentral:rRNA from 1 species